ensembl:lncRNA
GAAGAUCCUUGCCUACUGGAGGCCUUCUGAUGAUAAGCAGCUUUUUUUCCCUUUGUUUCUGCAUCUGUGGCUGCUGCAUUUGGGCUUGUUCUCAUUUGCUGUGGCCGAAGACUUUGCCACCCUGCUAUUAUUUCUGUACUAACUGUCACAUUAUAGCAUUACAAAUACCUAAUAUAAGCUGGUUGUUUAAAUUGUCAAUGGGUAAUUAUGUGAAUGUUGCCAAAUCCUAAAAGCAAUACGAAUUGCCCAAGGGGAAAAAGUAGAAACUUCAGAAAACAGAACAUAUACGAUAUGGUAUCAUUACUAGGAGGAAACCUCCCCUCAUUGAAGAGGCAAAAUUCCAAGCCUGCAGG